AUCAAAGUAAAUAAAUAAUAUUAUUACGUAUUAUAAUGAUAAGAAAAUAAAUACAAAUAUGCAAACAAAUUCAAACAAUAUACUUACACUUAUAUAAGAAUCCCAUACAAGAUCUUCAGUGAUAACCAUGUUCCUUUCAUUGUCCCAACCAAAUCCACUAGUACCUCUUCCUUGUACCAUAUCAUAUACAAUUGUCGAUUCUUUCUUCAAGGUCUUAAUCCUUGAUUGUAUGUGAGGUUUGGUGUCAUGACCCGGUACUCCCCUCGAGCCAGUGACAACUGCUACGACGUCCUGAUCGACACUCAUUACCCCGAAUGUC
rnacentral:lncRNA from 1 species